UACGAAGGGGGCUAGCGAUGUUCGGAUUUACUGGGCGUAAAGCGCGUGUAGGCGGGUCGUUAAGUUGGGGGUGAAAUCCCGAGGCUCAACCUCGGAACUGCCUUCAAGACUGGCGACCUGGACUCAAGUAGAGGCAAGUGGAAUUGCGAGUGUAGAGGUGAAAUUCGUAGAUAUUCGCAGGAACACCAGUGGCGAAGGCGACUUGCUGGGCUUGUAGUGACGCUGAGACGCGAAAGCGUGGGGAGCAAACAGG
rnacentral:rRNA from 1 species